rnacentral:rRNA from 1 species
GUAGGGAAUCUUCCGCAAUGGACGCAAGUCUGACGGAGCAACGCCGCGUGUGUGAAGAAGGUUUUCGGAUCGUAAAGCACUGUUAUUAGAGAAGAACAGCCGAUAGAGUAACUGUUAUCGGUUUGACGGUAUCUAACCAGAAAGUGACGGCUAACUACGUGCCAGCAGCCGCGGUAAUACGUAGGUCACAAGCGUUGUCCGGAUUUAUUGGGCGUAAAGGGAGCGCAGGCGGUUUGUUAAGUCUGAUGUGAAAGCCCACGGCUCAACCGUGGAACGGCAUUGGAAACUGGCAAACUUGAGUAUAGAAGAGGAAAGUGGAAUUCCAUGUGUAGCGGUGAAAUGCGUAGAUAUAUGGAGGAACACCAGUGGCGAAGGCGACUUUCUGGUCUAUAACUGACGCUGAGGCUCGAAAGCGUGGGGAGCGAACAGG